AAAAUUGGAUUGGAAACAGACCACCCGGCUUUAACGUGAAAUCGAAUUCUCUUCCUGAAAAAUUCCAACGGGAGGAUUAUUGAAAGCACAAAAGGAGUACAGAAGUAACACAGGAACGACCGGGGCAAAAAAGCAGUAAACGUGACAGUAAAAAGAUUCUGGUUAAAGACUACCGAAAUUAACAGUGAAUGAUGACUUCAAGACAGCGGGAGUCAUCGAAAUUAAAAACUUAAUAAUGAUAGAGUAGGUCAGUUGAUCAAGUUAUUGCAUUGUCGUCCGAC